GUGCCAGCAGCCGCGGUAAUACGAAGGGGGCUAGCGUUGUUCGGAUUUACUGGGCGUAAAGCGCGCGUAGGCGGGUCGUUAAGUCGGGGGUGAAAUCCCGAGGCUCAACCUCGGAACUGCCUUCGAUACUGGCGACCUAGAGUCCGGGAGAGGUGUAUGGAACUCCUAGUGUAGAGGUGGAAUUCGUAGAUAUUAGGAAGAACACCGGUGGCGAAGGCGAUACACUGGCCCGGUACUGACGCUGAGGCGCGAAAGCGUGGGGAGCAAACAGGAUUAGAAACCCUCGUAGUCC
rnacentral:rRNA from 1 species